UACGUAGGGGGCAAGCGUUGUCCGGAUUUAUUGGGCGUAAAGAGCGUGUAGGCGGCUUUGCAAGUCCGUUGUGAAAACUCGAGGCUCAACCUCGAGACGCCGGUGGAAACUGCAAAGCUAGAGUCCGGAAGAGGAGAGUGGAAUUCCUGGUGUAGCGGUGAAAUGCGCAGAUAUCAGGAAGAACACCCGUGGCGAAGGCGGCUCUCUGGGACGGUACUGACGCUAAGGCGCGAAAGCGUGGGGAGCGAACAGG
rnacentral:rRNA from 1 species